AUUGAGAGUGAGGAGUCACGUGCCGAUUUGGGUUGAAUUGGGAGGGGUCUGAGCCGGUCGGCCCUGAUGGCAGGAUACGCUAUCGGUUGCCAGGGGCAAUGCCUUCAGAACUUCACAGAGGCGCGACUAAACAUUUCAGAGAUCUUUAAUUAUUGCACAUUUAUUUUGUCGGCGGAACAGAUCGAGACGGAUCUACGAAUAUGAGAAAGAAAAUGAAGAAAGUAAAGCAAUGCAAAAACAUAAGGCGAAAGAAAGGGGACCUUACAGGAACAAGCUCACACUAGUUGCAAAACAGCGGUCCAUAUGUGUGCAUGAGGUAAAUGGUCCGGGUCUCUGUACUGCUGCAGGGAGCUCGCAUGGGUCGAUAUUUUUGUAUGCUUGAGAGCUUCUCCAAAUACCGCUGUUUUGCGCUUGGUGUAACCUAAAAAAACUGUAUUCCAUUGUUCCUAUGUUUUCCAUAUGUAUCGUGAGAGGUACUGGAGCAGUUAUUAAUGCAGCAGUAACUUCCAGGCAUGGUAAAACAGUGCAGAAUUGCGAGAACCUCCUCUACUACCGAGUUAAAAACGCAUGUAAACAUUCCUGUUUCGCCGCCGGUAUCCUGCCAACAUGGCGGAGACUGUGAUAUCGAGGGAGGGGCUUUGUGCUAUGACGACAACUUCUCAUUCUCAAUAGUCUCACAUGCUUUAAAUCCAGGACCAUUUGCUGGACUCCUACUUACAGGGUUGCUCCACUUCAGUCACUUUCCCAGGUGGAGCGGCAUCCGGAACGCUAUCCGGAAAAUUAUAGAGUCACACUGAAGGCAUCAAGGGCUAUUUGACCAAGAAGGAGAGUGAUGGGGUGCCGCGCCAGAAGACCUGGCCUCCACGGUCACCGGACCUGAACCCAAUCGAGAUGGUUUAGGGGUGAGCUGGACCGCAGACUGAAGGCAAAAGGGCCAACCAGUGCUAAGCAUCUCUCUGGGAACUCCUUCAAGACUGUUGGAAGACCAUUUCAGGUGACUACCUCUUGAAGCUCAUCAAGAGAAUGCCAACAGUGUGCAAAGCAGUAAUCAAAGCAAAAGGUGGCUACUUUGAAGAACCUACAAUAUGACAU